rnacentral:lncRNA from 1 species
AUGCAAUGCUUAUAUUCUUGGGUUCUUUUCAAAUGUUCAAACAGUAAAAUGUCCUUUUGUUUUUCUUCUUUGGACUCUACCAGUGUCCGUUUCUGUAUCCAUGCCCGUUGUGACCGUCCUUUAUUUGCUGACCAAUGUGGCUUACACUGUCAUCUUACAUAUGCCUUCUUUCCCGAAGCUGUUGCUGUGACAUUUGGUAAUGAGGUCCAAAGCCGUGUUCAGGGACUAAUUCCUAUUACAGUGGCCAUGGCUUGUGUCAGUGAACUGAACUCAAUCAGUCAUUACAGCAUCCAGAAAUGCCAAGUGCUAUGUUUGCAGAGCACCUAA